CCAAAGUGCAYAUGUGGAGUAGCACCCAAACGGGUGCCGGRGCUUCUCCCGUUU
rnacentral:tRNA from 1 species